UCUGGGAUAGCUCAGUUGGUAAAGCAUGAGACUUAAUCCACGGGUCUUAAUCUCAGGGUUGUGGGUUUGAGCCCCAUGUUGGGCAGAA